rnacentral:tRNA from 2 species
GUAGUUGUGGCCGAGUGGUUAAGGCGAUGGACUCGAAAUCCAUUGGAGUCUCCCUGCGCAGGUUCGAAUCCUGCCGACUACG